rnacentral:rRNA from 1 species
ACUCCUACGGGAGGCAGCAGUGGGGAAUAUUGCACAAUGGGCGCAAGCCUGAUGCAGCCAUGCCGCGUGUGUGAAGAAGGCCUUCGGGUUGUAAAGCACUUUCAGUUGUGAGUAAAGGUUAGUCGCUAAUAUCGGCUAGCUGUGACGUUAGCAACAGAAGAAGCACCGGCUAACUCCGUGCCAGCAGCCGCGGUAAUACGGAGGAUCCAAGCGUUAUCCGGAAUCAUUGGGUUUAAAGGGUCCGUAGGCGGUUUUAUAAGUCAGUGGUGAAAUCCGGCGGCUCAACUGUCGAACUGCCAUUGAUACUGUAGAACUUGAAUUAUUGUGAAGUAACUAGAAUAUGUAGUGUAGCGGUGAAAUGCUUAGAGAUUACAUGGAAUACCAAUUGCGAAGGCAGGUUACUAACAAUAUAUUGACGCUGAUGGACGAAAGCGU